rnacentral:lncRNA from 1 species
ACAUCGAUCAUCAUGAAAUUGCAUUGGAACUUUGGCUUGAUCUAUUACCUUCAAGAGUUAUGUUGAUGAUGUUUUCAGUAAGGUUUUUCACGUCAUAACUAUCUUCUGCAUAAACUAAGCAUAGAAAAACCAAACAUUAAAAAUCAUUCAAAUUAUGAGAAGUUUACCAAAAUAAUUAUGAAAAAAAUAAAACAAUAGUACUAUACCAUACUUUUAUUAAGUAUAAACAUAAGAUUUUGUGGUAUCCACUAGUGUAAAUAUUUUAAAUUGAAUAUCGAAUUCAAUCAUUGUAUUCAUAUAAGGUCAAGGAGUGUAGUUGUAAAAAAUCAU